rnacentral:rRNA from 1 species
UUUAGGUGGACCGGGACGGGUGAAGUAACGCGGUACGGGUAACCUCGCCUACACGAGGGGAUAACACUUAGAAAUAGGUGCUAAAACCGCAUAAGCGCACAGCUUCGCAUGAAGCGGUGUGAAAAACUCCGGUGGUGUAAGAUGGACCCGCGUCUGAUUAGCUUGUUGGCGGGGCAACGGCCCACCAAGGCGACGAUCAGUAGCCGGCCUGAGAGGGCGGACGGCCACAUUGGGACUGAGACACGGCCCAGACUCCUACGGAAGGCAGCAG